AUUGAACGCUGGCGGCAGGCCUAACACAUGCAAGUCGAACGAGUGGCGGACGGGUGAGUAAUGUCUGGGAAACUGCCUGAUGGAGGGGGAUAACUACUGGAAACGGUAGCUAAUACCGCAUACCAUCGGAUGUGCCCAGAUGGGAUUAGCUAGUAGGUGGGGUAAAGGCUCACCUAGGCGACGAUCCCUAGCUGGUCUGAGAGGAUGACAGGCGAACCUGGAACUAAGACACGGACCAGACGCAUGAGGGAGGCACCAGGGGGGUAUAUGGCACAAGGGGCGAAAGCCGGAUGCAGCCAUGCCGCGUGUAUGAAUAAGGCCUGCGGGUGGUAAAGUACUUUCGGCGGGGAGGCGUUACCCGCAGAAGAAGCACCGGCUAACUCCGUGCCAGCAGCCGCGGUAAUAC
rnacentral:rRNA from 1 species